rnacentral:rRNA from 1 species
UAAACUAGGAUUAGAUACCCUAUUAUUUUUAAUAUAAAUGUUUUGCCUAGGUAAUAAAAGUUUUGUUCUUUAAAACCUAAAGAAUUUGGCGGUGUUUUAGUCUUUUUAGAGGAAUUUGUCUCGUAAUCGAUAAUCCUCGUUUUAUCUUUCUUUAAAUUGUUUAUUCAGUAUGUAUACCGCCGUUAUAAGUUUAUAUUAUUAGAUUUUAAUUUACUUUAAAUUUUAUUUUAUUUUAUUUCAG